CAGUCGCCACGGGAAUACAGAGGGUGCGAGCGUUAAUCGGAUUUACUGGGCGUAAAGCGUGCGUAGGCGGCUUCUUAAGUCGGAUGUGAAAUCCCUGAGCUUAACUUAGGAAUUGCAUUCGAUACUGGGAAGCUAGAGUAUGGGAGAGGAUGGUAGAAUUCCAGAUGUAGCGGUGAAAUGCGUAGAGAUCUGGAGGAAUACCGAUGGCGAAGGCAGCCAUCUGGCCUAAUACUGACGCUGAGGUACGAAAGCAUGGGGAGCAAACAGGAUUAGAUACCCGAGUAGUCCCUGUCUCUUAUAC
rnacentral:rRNA from 1 species